ensembl:ncRNA H13J03.3 ncRNA
AAGGCAGUGAUGCACGAACCAGUUGCAAGCAUAACAACCCCCUAAUUAAUCGUCAGGUAAGCGUCCAAACAUUAAGCUCGGACAUUUAUAACACGCGAAGUAAGACAAAUUCAAUUCGAAUUAUUUUUCUGGAAAAAUUAGUUCAAAA